GGAUAACCUUGCGAAAGUAAGACUAAUACCCAAUGAUAUCUCUAGAAGACAUCUGAAGGAGAUUAAAGAUUUAUCGGUGAUGGAUGGGGAUGCGUCUGAUUAGCUUGUUGGCGGGGUAACGGCCCACCAAGGCGACGAUCAGUAGGGGUUCUGAGAGGAAGGUCCCCCACAUUGGAACUGAGACACGGUCCAAACUCCUACGGGAGGCAGCAGUGAGGAAUAUUGGUCAAUUGGCGAGAGCCUGAACCAGCCAAGUAGCGUGCAGGAUGACGGCCCUAUGGGUUGUAAACUGCUUUUAUAAGGGAAUAAAGUGAGUCUCGUGAGGCUUUUUGCAUGUACCUUAUGAAUAAGGACCGGCUAAUUCCGUGCCAGCAGCCGCGGUAAUACGGAAGGUCCGGGCGUUAUCCGGAUUUAUUGGGUUUAAAGGGAGCGUAGGCCGGAGAUUAAGCGUGUUGUGAAAUGUAGAUGCUCAACAUCUGCACUGCAGCGCGAACUGGUUUCCUUGAGUACGCACAAAGUGGGCGGAAUUCGUGGUGUAGCGGUGAAAUGCUUAGAUAUCACGAAGAACUCCGAUUGCGAAGGCAGCUCACUGGAGCGCAACUGACGCUGAAGCUCGAAAGUGCGGGUAUCGAACAGGA
rnacentral:rRNA from 1 species